GAUGAACGCCGGCGGCGUGCUUAACACAUGCAAGUCGAACGGAAAGGCCCAAGCUUGCUUGGGUCCUCGAGUGGCGAACGGGUGAGUAACACGUGGGUGAUCUGCCCUGCACUUCGGGAUAAGCCUGGGAAACUGGGUCUAAUACCGGAUAGGACCACAUUUUGGAUGGUGUGGUGGAAAGUUUUUCGGUGUGGGAUGAGCUCGCGGCCUAUCAGCUUGUUGGUGGGGUAAUGGCCUACCAAGGCGUCGACGGGUAGCCGGCCUGAGAGGGUGUACGGCCACAUUGGGACUGAGAUACGGCCCAGACUCCUACGGGAGGCAGCAGUGGGGAAUAUUGCACAAUGGGCGCAAGCCUGAUGCAGCGACGCCGCGUGGGGGAUGACGGCCUUCGGGUUGUAAACUCCUUUCGCUAGGGACGAAGCGUUAUGUGACGGUACCUGGAGAAGAAGCACCGGCUAACUACGUG
rnacentral:rRNA from 1 species